GGGCUGUGUAUGGUGAGGGACAGACAAAGUGAAUUGUAGGCCAUUCAGGAGAUACUGUUGUAACAGACAGACAGACCAAGACUAUUACAAUGUUCUGGGGCCGUGUAUGGUGAGGGACAGACAAAGUAAAUUGUAGGCCAUUCAGGAGAUACUGUUGUAACAGACAGACAGACCAAGACUAUUACUAUGUUCAGGGGCUGUGUAUGGUGAGGGACAGACAAAGUAAAUUGUAGGCCAUUCAGGAGAUACUGUUGUAACAGACAGACAGACCAAGACUAUUACAAUGUUCUGGGGAUGUGUAUGGUGAGUAGACAAUUAGAAGACAGGUGUUGGUCAUUCAGCAGAUACUGUUGUAACAGACAGACAGACCAAGACUAUUACUAUGUCCCCUAGCUGUG
rnacentral:lncRNA from 1 species